rnacentral:rRNA from 1 species
CCCUUCGGGGUACUCGAGUGGCGAACGGGUGAGUAACACGUGGGUAAUCUGCCCUGCACUUUGGGAUAAGCCUGGGAAACUGGGUCUAAUACCGAAUAGGACCACGCNNNNCAUGGUGUGUGGUGGAAAGCUUUUGCGGUGUGGGAUGGGCCCGCGGCCUAUCAGCUUGUUGGUGGGGUAAUGGCCUACCAAGGCGACGACGGGUAGCCGGCCUGAGAGGGUGACCGGCCCCACUGGGACUGAGAUACGGCCCAGACUCCUACGGGAGGCAGCAGUGGGGAAUAUUGCACAAUGGGCGCAAGCCUGAUGCAGCGACGCCGCGUGAGGGAUGACGGCCUUCGGGUUGUAACCUCUUUCAAUAGGGACGAAGCGCAAGUGACGGUACCUAUAGAAGAAGCACCGGCCAACUACGUGCCAGCAGCCGCGGUAAUACGUAGGGUGCGAGCGUUGUCCGGAAUUACUGGGCGUAAAGAGCUCGUAGGUGGUUUGUCGCGUUGUUCGUGAAAACUCACAGCUUAACUGUGGGCGUGCGGGCGAUACGGGCAGACUAGAGUACUGCAGGGGAGACUGGAAUUCCUGGUGUAGCGGUGGAAUGCGCAGAUAUCAGGAGGAACACCGGUGGCGAAGGCGGGUCUCUGGGCAGUAACUGACGCUGAGGAGCGAAAGCGUGGGGAGCGAACAGGAUUAGAUACCCUGGUAGUCCACGCCGUANACGGNNGGUACUAGGUGUGGGUUCCUUCCUUGGGAUCCGUGCCGUAGCUAACGCAUUAAGUACCCCGCCUGGGGAGUACGGCCGCAAGNNNANNACUCAAAGNNNUUGACGGGGGCC